UACAGAGGGUGCGAGCGUUAAUCGAAAUUACUGGGCGUAAAGGGCGCGUAGGCGGUUUAGUGUGUGGGAUGUGAAAGCCCUGGGCUUAACCUGGGAAGUGCAUACCAAACUACUAAACUGGAGUAGGGGAGAGGGUGGCGGAAUUUCCGGUGUAGCGGUGAAAUGCGUAGAUAUCGGAAGGAACGUCAAUGGCGAAGGCAGCCACCUGGCCUCAUACUGACGCUGAGGCGCGAAAGCGUGGGGAGCGAACAGG
rnacentral:rRNA from 1 species